rnacentral:lncRNA from 1 species
GGACUAACCAUGUACCUGUACUGUCUGGAUAUAUGGACUAACCAUGUACCUGUACUGUCUGGAUAUAUGGACUAACCAUGUACCUGUACUGUCUGGAUAUAUGGACUAACCAUGUACCUGUACUGGUAUUCAACAGAGGCCCUGAAUUAUGACUGAUGAGCUGAUAUACAACAGACCAGACUGGUUUGGGCUUUUCAUAAUGUAGUAACUCAUGGUUUUGCUGUAUCAUCCAGGAUCAAUACAUGAGGUCUGAUAUGGUGCUUUUGUACCAAACACAUGGGUGGCCUCUGACCUGGAAGAGCUGGUGGCUGUAGGGAGGCUGGGCAGUAUGGAGCAGGUCUGGUGGCUGUAGGGAGGCUGGGCAGUAUGGAGCAGGUCUGGUGGCUGUAGGGAGGCUGGGCAGUAUGGAGCAGGUCUGGUGGCUGUAGGGAGGCUGGGCAGUAUGGAGCAGGUCUGGUGGCUGUAGGGAGGCUGGGCAGUAUGUAUGGAGCAGGUCUGGUGGCCUCUGACCUGGAAGAGCUGGUGGCUGUAGGGAGGCUGGGCAGUAUGUAUGGAGCAGGUCUGGUGGCUGUAGGGAGGCUGGGCAGUAUGGAGCAGGUCUGGUGGUUGUAGGGAGGCUGGGCAGUAUGUAUGGAGCAGGUCUGGUGGCCUCUGGCCUGGAAGAGCUGGUGGCUGUAGGGAGGCUGGGCAGUAUGGAGCAGGUCUGGUGGCUGUAGGGAGGCUGGGCAGUAUGGAGCAGGUCUGGUGGCUGUAGGGAGGCUGGGCAGUAUGGAGCAGGUCUGGUGGCCUCAUUAGGUCAUGUUCCACUAAUAUUAUCAGGACCAAAGCUUCUCAGCCCCCUCCUCUCCCUGUUCACUCAGAACCUGGUAGAACCUCAGAACCUGGUAGAACCUCAGAACCUGGUAGAACCUUCGAACCUCAGAACCUGGUAAUGCCUGGUAGAACCUCAGAACCUGGUAGAACCUUCGAACCUCAGAACCUGGUAAUGCCUGGUAGAACCUCAGAACCUGGUAGAACCUCAGAACCUGGUAGAACCUUCGAACCUGGUAGAACCUCAGAACCUGGUAGAAUCUAGUAGAACCCGAGUGAACCCAGUAGAACCCGAUAGAGCUCUGUGUAGUCGAGAGGGCUAGCAGCAGGUAGGUCGUCCCAUAGAAAGUGUAGUGGUUCGGUGAGUGUUGAGGUGUUGAAGCAGGUAGGUUAGCGGGUCUCAGGCCCACAUCAGACCGUGCCAUAGCUAACAACGUGGUGUCUAAGGAGAUGUUCGUGUGUGCAGAGCUAGGAUUGAAACCCCCUAAGCUGUCCUGGAAGAUGCUUUACUGCAGGACAAACCCAGCCUCAGAUCACUGGCUGUCCGGUGGGUUUUACCUAAAUCAUGCAUCGAUGUCAUUUGGAAGUCUGCAGGACAGAGUUGUGUGUCGCGUAAGACCUCAGACUUCCUGUCGGCUACUAAGUCUGACAGCAAUGCCAGAGAGUUAUUCAUAAGACUUCCAGGUCAGAGGUUAAAGGUUAGAUGGUCAGUUGGUUCAGGCUCAGACACUCAAUCUGACACCUGUCUAUCAAACUAACACUACCAAACUAGCAACCCAAACCCCUAGCCCUACCUCACUAGCCCUACCUCACCCUGUCCCCUAGCCCUACCUCACUAACCCUACCUCACCCUGACCCCUAGCCCUACCUCCCUAGCUCUACCUCACCCUGUCCCCUAGCCCUACCUCACUAGCCCUACCUCACCCUGACCCCUAGCCCUACCUCAGUAACCCUACCUCACCCUGACCCCUAGCCCUACCUCACCCUGUCCCCUAGCCCUACCUCACCCUGUCCCCUAGCCCUACCUCACCCUGACCCCUAGCCCUACCUCACCCUGUCCCCUAGCCCUACCUCACCCUGACCCCUACCUCACUAACCCUACCUCACCCUGACCCCUAGCCCUACCUCACCCUGACCCCUAGCCCUACCUCACUAGCCCUACCUCACCCUGACCCCUAGCCCUACCUCAGUAACCCUACCUCACCCUGACCCCUAGCCCUACCUCACCCUGUCCCCUAGCCCUACCUCACUAACCCUGACCCCUAGCCCUACCUCACUAACCCUACCUCACCCUGACCCCUAGCCCUACCUCACCCUGACCCCUAGCCCUACCUCACUAACCCUGACCCCUAGCCCUACCUCACUAACCCUACCUCACCCUGACCCCUAGCCCUACCUCACCCUGACCCCUAGCCCUACCUCACUAACCCUACCUCACCCUGACCCCUAGUCCUACCUCACCCUGACCCCUAGCCCUACCUCACUAACCCUGUCCCCUAGCCCUACCUCACUAACCCUACCUCACCCUGACCACUAGCCCUACCUCACCCUGACCCCUAGCCCUACCUCACCCUGACCCCUAGUCCUACCUCAGGGUCAGAGAACACUGAGAAGACCUGUCAACCUCAAUGUAUUGGGAGGAACAUCCACACAACCAUCUCCUAACAUCCACACAACCAUCUCCUAACAUCCACACAACCAUCACAGAACAGCCACACAACCAUCACAGAACAUUCAUACAACUAUCACAGAACAUUCACACAACCAUCACAGAACAUUCACACAACCAUCACAGAACAUUCACACAACCAUCACAGAACAUUCACACAACCAUCACUGAACAUCCACACAACCAUCUCCUAACAUUCAUACAACCAUCUCCUAACAUCCACACAACCAUCACAGAACAUCCACACAACCAUCUCCUAACAUUCAUACAACAUCACAGAACAUCCACACAACCAUCACAGAACAUUCAUACAACCAUCACAGAACAUUCACACAACCAUCACAGAACAUUCACACAACCAUCACAGAACAUUCACACAACCAUCACAGAACAUUCAUACAACAUCUAACAUCCACACAACCAUCUCAUAACAUCCAUACAACCAUCACAGAACAUUCAUACAACCAUCACAGAGCAUUCAUACAACCAUCACAGAACAUCCAUACAACCAUCACAGAACAUCAUACAACCAUCACAGAACAUUCAUACAACAUCUAACAUCCACACAACCAUCUCAUAACAUCCAUACAACCAUCACAGAACAUUCAUACAACCAUCACAGAGCAUUCAUACAACCAUCACAGAACAUUCAUACAACCAUCACAGAACAUCAUACAACCAUCACAGAACAUUCACACAACCAUCACAGAACAUUCAUACAACCAUCACAGAACAUCCAUACAACCAUCACAGAACAUCCAUACAACCAUCACAGAACAUCCAUACAACCAUCACAGAACAUCCAUACAACCACCACAGAACAUUCAUACAACCAUCACAGAACAUCCAUACAACCAUCACAGAACAUUCACACAACCAUCACAGAACAUUCAUACAACCAUCACAGAACAUCCAUACAACCACCACAGAACAUUCAUACAACCAUCACAGAACAUCCAUACAACCAUCACAGAACAUUCAUACAACCACCACAGAACAUCCAUACAACCAUCACAGAACAUUCAUACAACCACCACAGAACAUCCAUACAACCACAAUAUAACAUCCAUACAACCACCACAGAACAUCCAUACAACCAUCACAGAACAUCCAUACAACCAUCACAGAACAUCCAUACAACCAUCACAGAACAUUCACACAACCAUCACAGAACAUCCAUACAACCAUCACAGAACAUCCAUACAACCACCACAGAACAUCCAUACAACCAUCACAGAACAUCCAUACAACCAUCACAGAACAUUCACACAACCAUCACAGAACAUCCAUACAACCAUCACAGAACAUCCAUACAACCAUCACAGAACAUCCAUACAACGAUCACAGAACAUUCAUACAACCAUCACAGAACAUCCAUACAACCAUCACAGAACAUUCAUACAACCAUCACAGAACAUUCACACAACCAUCACAGAACAUCCAUACAACCAUCACAGAACAUCCGUACAACCACCACAGAACAUCCAUACAACCAUCACAGAACAUCCAUACAACCAUCACAGAACAUCAUACAACCAUCACAGAACAUCCACACAACCAUCACAGAACAUCCACACAACCAUCACAGAACAUCCAUACAACCAUCACAGAACAUUCAUACAAAUUCCAUCCAACAGCCAGGUAACUCAGGCAGCUAAACCAGAGCAACUCAGGCAGCUGAACCAGAGCAACUCAGGCAGCUAAACCAGAGCAACUCAGGCAGCUGAACCAGAGCAACUCAGGCAGCUGAACCAGAGCAACUCAGGCAGCUAAACCAGAGCAACUCAGGCAGCUGAACCAGAGCAACUCAGGCAGCUGAACCAGAGCAACUCAGGCAGCUGAACCAGAGCAACUCAGGCAGCUGAACCAGAGCAACUCAGGCAGCUGAACCAGAGCAACUCAGGCAGCUGAACCAGAGCAACUCAGGCAGCUAAACCAGAGCAACUCAGGCAGCUGAACCAGAGCAACUCAGGCAGCUGAACCAGAGCAACUCAGGCAGCUAAACCAGAGCAACUCAGGCAGCUGAACCAGAGUUAACUAAGUCACUAAAGCUUUGAUGCAGGGAGAGGGAUUGACAGGCGGACAGAGUAAGGAAUGAGAGUUUAAACCAGAGGUUAUAUUUAAUGAGAAGGAGAUUCAUAGAUUAUAAUCCUACUGGAGUUGGACAAAGCUAUAUGAUGUUAAUACAGACACCACUAUAAACAAUCCAACCCAAAUAUAGACCUGUUAACAACCUGAGAAUGGAGAUCCUUUACAACAGCAUUGGAGGAGGAGAGGAGGGGGAGAGGAAGGGGAGAGGAAGGGGAGAGGAAGGGGAGAGGAAGGGGAGAGGAAGGGGAGAGGAGGAGGAGAGGAAGGGGAGAGGAAGGGGAGAGGAGGAGGAGAGGAAGGGGAGAGGAAGGGGAGAGGAGGGGGAGAGGAAGGGGAGAGGAGGAGGAGAGGAAGGGGAGAGGAAGGGGAGAGGAGGAGGAGAGGAAGGGGAGAGGAGGAGAGGAGGAGGAGA